AGUUUGAUCCUGGCUCAGAACGAACGCUGGCGGCAGGCUUAACACAUGCAAGUCGAGCGCCCCGCAAGGGGAGCGGCAGACGGGUGAGUAACGCGUGGGAAUCUACCCAUCUCUACGGAACAACUCCGGGAAACUGGAGCUAAUACCGUAUACGUCCUUACGGAGAAAGAUUUAUCGGAGAUGGAUGAGCCCGCGUUGGAUUAGCUAGUUGGUGGGGUAAUGGCCUACCAAGGCGACGAUCCAUAGCUGGUCUGAGAGGAUGAUCAGCCACACUGGGACUGAGACACGGCCCAGACUCCUACGGGAGGCAGCAGUGGGGAAUAUUGGACAAUGGGCGCAAGCCUGAUCCAGCCAUGCCGCGUGAGUGAUGAAGGCCCUAGGGUUGUAAAGCUCUUUCAACGGUGAAGAUAAUGACGGUAACCGUAGAAGAAGCCCCGGCUAACUUCGUGCCAGCAGCCGCGGUAAUACGAAGGGGGCUAGCGUUGUUCGGAAUUACUGGGCGUAAAGCGCACGUAGGCGGAUACUUAAGUCAGGGGUGAAAUCCCGGGGCUCAACCCCGGAACUGCCUUUGAUACUGGGUAUCUCGAGUCCGGAAGAGGU
rnacentral:rRNA from 1 species